UAGUAACGGCGAGUGAAGCGGCAACAGCUCAAAUUUGAAAUCUGGCCCUUUCAGGGUCCGAGUUGUAAUUUGCAGAGGGUGCUUUGGCGUCGGUCGUGGUCUAAGUUCCUUGGAACAGGACGUCACAGAGGGUGAGAAUCCCGUACGUGGCCGCCGACCUUCGCCGUGUAAAGCCCCUUCGACGAGUCGAGUUGUUUGGGAAUGCAGCUCUAAAUGGGAGGUAAAUUCCUUCUAAAGCUAAAUAUUGGCCAGAGACCGAUAGCGCACAAGUAGAGUGAUCGAAAGAUGAAAAGCACUUUGGAAAGAGAGUCAAAAAGCACGUGAAAUUGUUGAAAGGGAAGCGCUUGCAGCCAGACUUGCCUGCGGAUGCUCAACCGGGCUCUUGCCCGGUGCACUCUUCCGCAGGCAGGCCAGCAUCAGUUCGGGCGGGUGGAUAAAGGCCUGCUAAAUGUACCUCUCCUCGGGGAGGACUUAUAGGGUAGGUGCCAUACACCCAGCCUGGACUGAGGUCCGCGCAUCU
rnacentral:rRNA from 1 species